rnacentral:sRNA from 1 species
AUAUUGUACAUUGAGUGCGAGUGAGAGGCUGCGUUCAGGUUUGAGCCGAGCGAAGCGAGACAGCGUUGCGCUUGCCGCAACGACCCGAAGGGCGAGGGCAAAGCCCGAGUGAUCCUGCACGACUAUCUC